GAUGAACGCUGGCGGCGUGCCUAAUACAUGCCAGUCGAGCGAACAGACGAGGAGCUUGCUCCUCUGACGUUAGCGGCGGACGGGUGAGUAACACGUGGAUAACCUACCUAUAAGACUGGGAUAACUUCGGGAAACCGGAGCUAAUACCGGAUAAUAUAUUGAACCGCAUGGUUCAAUAGUGAAAGACGGUUUUGCUGUCACUUAUAGACGGAUCCGCGCCGCAUUAGCUAGUUGGUAAGGUAACGGCUUACCAAGGCGACGAUGCGUAGCCGACCUGAGAGGGUGAUCGGCCACACUGGAACUGAGACACGGUCCAGACUCCUACGGGAGGCAGCAGUAGGGAAUCUUCCGCAAUGGGCGAAAGCCUGACGGAGCAACGCCGCGUGAGUGAUGAAGGUCUUCGGAUCGUAAAACUCUGUUAUUAGGGAAGAACAAAUGUGUAAGUAACUAUGCACGUCUUGACGGUACCUAAUCAGAAAGCCACGGCUAACUACGUG
rnacentral:rRNA from 1 species